AUGUUAUCCUGUAACCCUCUGUUGGAGCAAGCCCUGGAUCAACACACGCACACGGGGUGGACACACACACGAGACGAGCUGAAGAAGAAAGAAGAACUGCACGAACGCAGUGAGCGGAGAGAUUUUUGCGACGCGCUUAACAUGUGUCUUUUCUGUUUCCUUCCUUUAUUCUCAAGCGUAACAAUCUCUCAGCAUGUACUGCCCACGAUCCGUUUUACCCGCGCCAUCCCACGGACAGAGUCGUGGCCAGUACACCCACGAUUACAACAGCAAAGAGAGCUACGACUAAGUCUGAAGAAAAGAGUAGCCUGA
rnacentral:rRNA from 1 species